ACCUGCCCUCGAGAUGGGAGUAGCCAUUAGAAAUAGUGGAUAAUACCGAAUACGCUCAUGACCCUGUGGGGAUAUGAGGAAAACAGGCUACGGCCUGGCUCGAGGAUGGGCCCGCGUCCCAUUAGCUAGUUGGUGAGGUAACGGCCCACCAAGGCGACGAUGGGUAUCCGGCCUGAGAGGGUGUACGGACACAUUGGGACUGAGAUACGGCCCAAACUCCUACGGGAGGCAGCAGCUAAGAAUAUUCCGCAAUGGACGAAGUCUGACGGAGCGACGCCGCGUGGAUGAAGAAGGCCCGGAAGGUUGUAAAAUCCUUUUGCUGAUGAAGAAUAAGUGUGGUAGGGAAUGACCGCAUGAUGACAUUAGUCGGUGAAUAAGCCCCGGCUAACUACGUGCCAGCAGCCGC
rnacentral:rRNA from 1 species